rnacentral:rRNA from 1 species
CAGCAGCCGCGGUAAUACGAAGGGUGCAAGCGUUAAUCGGAAUUACUGGGCGUAAAGCGUGCGUAGGCGGUGAGUUAAGUCUGCUGUGAAAUCCCCGGGCUCAACCUGGGAAUGGCAAUGGAUACUGGCAAGCUAGAGUGUGUCAGAGGAUGGUGGAAUUCCCGGUGUAGCGGUGAAAUGCGUAGAGAUCGGGAGGAACAUCAGUGGCGAAGGCGGCCAUCUGGGACAACACUGACGCUGAGGCACGAAAGCGUGGGGAGCAAACAGGAUUAGAUACCCGCGUAGUCCCUGUCUCUUAUAC